GGACUGUGAAAAGUUUAUUUGUUAAUUACAGCUUGAGUAUCCCUUAUCUAAAAUGUGUGGAACCAGGUUGAAUUUCAAAAUAUUUGCAUAUACAUAAUGAGAGAUCUUGGGAAUGCAACUGAAGUCUAGCCAUUAAAUUCACUUAGGUUUCACAUACACAUAGUCUGAAGGUGAUUUUAUACAAUGUUUUUAAUAAUUUUGUACAUGAAACAAAGUUUUUGACUGCAUUUUGACUUCAACCCAUUACAUGCAGCCAGGUGUGGAAUUUUCCACUUGUGGCAUCAUGUCGCCAUUCUCGCCAUUCAAAAUCUUUUGCAUUUUAGGCAGGGUGCGGUGGCUCCCACCUGUAAUCCCAGCACUUUGGGAGGCCGAGGUGGGUGGAUCACCUGAGGUCAGGAGUUCGAGACCAGUCUGGCCAAUAUGGCGAAACCUCUUCACUAAUAAAAAAUAUAUAUAUAAGGCUGGGUGCGGUGGCUCAUGUCUGUAAUCCCAGCACUUUCGGAGGCUGAGGUGGGCAGAUCACGAGGUCAGGAGAUCGAGACCAUCCUGGCUAACACAGUGAAACCCCGUCUCUACUAAAAAUACAAAAAAUUAGCCGGGCGUCAUGCGGGCGCCUGUAGUCCCAGCUACUCAGGAGGCUGAGGCAGG
rnacentral:lncRNA from 1 species